GGGGAAUCUUGCGCAAUGGCCGAAAGGCUGACGCAGCGACGCCGCGUGUGGGAGGAAGCUCUUCGGGGUGUAAACCACUGUUGCCCGGGACGAACAGCACUAUUCGUAGUGCCUGACGGUACCGGGUGAGGACGCACCGGCUAACUACGUGCCAGCAGCCGCGGUAAUACGUAGGGUGCAAGCGUUGCCCGGAUUUAUUGGGCGUAAAGGGCGCGUAGGCGGCUACGCACGUCCGUUGUGAAAUCGCUCGGCUCAACUGGGCGGGGUCAGCGGAUACGGUGUAGCUGGAGCAAGCUAGGGGGCAAUGGAAUUCCCGGUGUAGUGGUGGAAUGCGUAGAUAUCGGGAGGAACACCAGUGGCGAAGGCGGUUGCCUGGAGCUUUGCUGACGCUGAGGCGCGAAAGCGUGGGGAGCGAUC
rnacentral:rRNA from 1 species